UACGGAGGGUGCAAGCGUUAUCCGGAUUUACUGGGUUUAAAGGGUGCGUAGGCGGUCCUUUAAGUCAGUGGUGAAAACUCCGAGCUUAACUCGGAAACUGCCAUUGAUACUAUUGGUCUUGAAUUUAGUUGAGGUUGGCGGAAUGUGUCGUGUAGCGGUGAAAUGCUUAGAUAUGACACAGAACACCGAUUGCGAAGGCAGCUGGCUAAACUAAAAUUGACGCUGAGGCACGAAAGUGUGGGGAUCAAACAGG
rnacentral:rRNA from 1 species